GCCGCGGUAGCUCAGCCUGGUAGAGCGCUGCCCUGGUAAGGCAGAGGUCCCGGGUUCGAAUCCCGGCCGCGGCUCCA
rnacentral:tRNA from 1 species